rnacentral:lncRNA from 1 species
GGCGGUCCAGCCUGGGAUGGAGAGUCAGGACCAAUCCUCUCCCCGAAACCUAGCGCACUCGGCCAAUCCUCUCCGUCCUUCGAGCCCUCUUCUUCUCUUUCCGCGCCGUCUCGUCUUCCCUGCUCUCGCACCGCCGCCUUCUCUCCCGGCGCUCAAGGUGCAACAACAAGGGCACGUUCUCCAUCCAGCCGGAGCCGGGUAGGGUGCAGGUCGCCGGCAUCAUGCACCGUGUCCCAUGAUUCUGGAUCUGGCGCAUAUCUUCGUCAGGAGACUAGGAGCAGCAGUGAGGGCAGCAGAGGAACCCAUCCUGAACGAGCCCGCUCCGGCGUUUGCCCGCAAAGGAGAGGGCGAGGAUGGUUCCCAGUUCGUGGAGGAGACGAACGGGCACAUGUGAGCUCUUUCUUCAUCGUUUACUUAUCUUCGCAUAGUAACCUGAGCUCAUCCCUUGAUUCGUGGGAGAUCAGGGCAAGCAUGUAUUCAUGGUGCUUGCGGAGGAGCAGGGCUGCUAAGGAAAAGUGGUGGUGGGGGAGGAGGACGCCCUUGUCCUUGAUGUUCGGGCAGCCAUGGCUGACGCCAGAGCCGUUGGCUGGCCUUGAAAUUGUCCGUUGUCGGCGUCCUCGUCAUCCAACCACCAGGUCCUCGAUCCAUCUGCGACCGUACAUCUGCGGCCAUACGGUCGCCGCUUACUUCCACCCCCCUCCUGUUGCUUUAUUCCUAAUUUUCUCAUGCGGUGCUCGCUUUUGUUUCCCUCUUGUGUUCAUCAUCUCAGAAAUUUGGUGGCACUGGAUCCUGCGGGAGGAGGUCCCUGAGGCAUUUGAUUCUUGUGGGAUUCCCACACAUCUUGUUGGAUCAGCAACAAGUGGCUGGGCCUCUACAUUAUUCAUAAAAUCUAUUUUUAUCUUUCAUUUAUUUGUCUAAUUUCUGUGCCCGUGUCCUCGCCUCUGUUCGGCUCUUGUUGAAGUUCCAAUGAAUUUCUGUGCUACCUAAGAAGUACUAAUGCUCAUAUAUUACAAUUUGCUAUCCACAGCUUUCAGUCACGGGAUCUUGAGAAAAGUAGUUUAGGCAUUUUGCUUGUGUCAACUAUAUGAAAUCUGCAAAGUCUUUUUUGUGUGCAGAAAAUUUCACACUCUGCAUUACUUGCAAAAGAUGCUGAUUUUGAUCUUAACAAUUAUAGUUGUUGUUCAAGCAGUAGAAGAUCUGGCAACCUCACGGCCAUCUCAUUCGAAAUUGAAGUCCUAUCCUUAAAGUUUAGCUAAGUGUAUUAUUUAUUUUCUGGUUUAAAUUAUUUUCCUCAUGUGACACAAAAGGCUUGAAGCCUUCUUUUAACUCGCACUUCUAUGCUAACCAAAUUUAUUUCUGGCUGUCAGAAGAGUUCGGAGCGAAGCUGGCCAGCAUCUUCGCAUGUGACACAAAAAUUGUUGUUCAAGCACACAACUGCUGUAUUUCGUAAAUUGUGACGUGUUCAUAUGAUUUUUUACUGAAGGUAUUAGUUUUUUUCCAAACCUUUUUGUCUAAUCAACUUUGCUACUUUAAAUUUUUGUUAGCAAGACAUGUUCAUGGUUCUAUUUGCUGUCUACUCUUACUAAAAGUUCAAACACUUGUGUUAGUAUGAAUGAUCUCUCACUACUUUAAGUUUUUGUUAUGGUGUUGUGUGCUGAUUCAUGAUUUAAACACGCAAAAUGUCUGGUUUGCAUAUUUGUGCCUAGCCCUGUUACCAGCAGUGUAUUUUUUGCCGAAAGAAAGAUAACAGUGCUUUGUUUCUUUAACUUCUUGACUGUGUCUAAUUUCUGGUAAAAGAGAGAGAAUUUGAGAGAGACAGACAACCUGAAGAGCUUUGAACAGCUUUGAACGUUCGAGUGUGCAACCUCCUCUCUGUUGCUGUUGCGUAGCUGGCAGCAGUGUGUGGCUGCUGCCGACAUAAGUGCAGUUUACUCUAGGUUUGGUGAUGGUUUUGAAAAACACCUAUCAAGGAAUUUAGUAGCAUUGUGGGACGAUAAACCAAUUUUUUCUGUUUUCUGUGCUCACAGAGUAAGAAUAUGCCUGCAAGUUCUUUUCCCUAGGAUGUAAUUUCUUUUGCUGAGAUAGAUUAAGCCUGGGUCGAGGUGGCUGCUGUGUGCUGGUUGCCCAAUACUUGUUUGUUGUAAUGCCUUACUCAGUGAGAUUUAUUUUCUUGUUGCCUAUAUUCAGAGGUUCUGCUUGAAGAUUCUCUAAUCACUUUCUUUGAAUUUUUUGCUAAGAUCUGCUUCCAGUUCACUUCAACGUUACUAGACUUAAAAUGUACUAUCUAGCAUACUAGCACAUGUGUAGAUGAUGCCUCCUUUUAUCUUUAAAUUUAUGGCAAAUGGUGUUUUUCCCCAUCGUUAUGUUGAACGAAAGUGAUGUUCUGUUGUAAUAUUCAAAACUAUAUCUCUUUGUUUGCAGUAUCUUGGAAGGGGGCAAUAUUUUGAUACUUGCUUUCUAGGAAUUCACUUUCUUUGCCUAGAACUUGUGAUUUAUGGCUGAUGUCAAUUCCACCUCUGUAGGUGCUUGUCAAUUAUAGGUGAAAAACUUGGCAUGGAGGCGCAUAGGAUUGCUGCUUCUGUUUUUGGAUUGGCCCUUGCGAGGGAGACCGAAGCAAACUCCAGCAGGUUUCAGGUGUGCAUCCUCUAUUCCUGGUGUUUGUUUCCCUACCUGACCUUGAGAAUUGUACAUUUUGGUAAAUAUAGUUAGUUAGUUUACUGUCAGUUGCGAUAGUCAGAGCACGUACAAGUUUGGUUUUAUGUAGGUUAGUAGAUGUCAUUCCGUAAUCAGUGAAAAUUAGGCCUGAAGAAAGUCUGCCUCCCUAUUUUGUGCACAUAAAUGCUUAACAUAGUGUGACCAAUUAAGUAAACUUGUACAAUAAUAAGCUUCUUCAUUGUUAUGCUUGUUGAAACUAAACUACUGCUGUAUCAGUUGUUCUUUUGCAUUUUUCCUCUGUGAAGAUAUGUAUUAAUGGACAAACAGUGCGUACAUGUUAGCCUUAUGUCCGCGAUGGCCGUAUUAGCAUGCCUAGCUGCCAAGUAUAAAUAGUAUGUGCGUCACUCAGAACUAGAGCAUCCCGGUGGAAUAUGGAUGAGGUAAGAAUUGGGAAAUUUCUGUCAUAUUUGAUUGAUCUUAGAAAAACUGAUCUCCUACAGUGUAGAGUGAAUCUCACUAAAUAAAACCCUUCUGUAAAAUAUGUCCACAUGUAACAAAUAUUGCAGUUUAACCUCACCAUAAUAAUUAACAACAACUGUGAACUUCAAGGGACAAUUAUUACUACAAUUUUUGUACACCUGAGAUUUUUUGUUGUGAUCUUUGUUUGGAAAGGGGAAAAGGCCUAUCUAAAGAUUCGGGUCAAAGGCUGAUCCACUGUGUUUCUAUGAUUAUGGAGUUCUAAAAUUCAUUUACGUAACAAUGGAACUAUGUAGUGCAAUCUUCUGUAGUUUACUACACCUUACCUGCCUCCUUCCCUGUACAAAUGUUGCAAGUCUUUUAGAGAUCUCCACUUAGUGCAAAUGCCUGGUGACUAAUUUCCUUUUGCAUUGCAUACUUUUGAGUAACACAACGGUUGUUGUAGCUUUUGUAUCUCUUUUUCUGUAAAUAUGGACCCCCCCCGCUCUAGAGGAGUACGAUUUGUACACAUUACUCUAUUUUUCUAAUGAGUGUAUGUGGAUGCAUAAAAAUAGUUGAGGAGCAAUUUCUAUUCUCUAUUUCUUUAGUGAGUUUAUGUGGAUGCGUAAAAACAGUUCUCUAUUUUCUUUCAUGGAUAUAUGUUGAUACAUGGAAAACGUAUAUGGUGCGUCUCAUUUCUGCUCAUCCUGAUCUAACCAAAUUGACCCCAUGGAUUUGAGGUUGCCUUGCCUGUCAGGUUUGGACAUGUCCUUAUUUGUACUAAAUCACUAAAGAAAACUGUAUAAAAAAAGACCCCCCCUUUGCAACAACUUAAUUAUUUAUUAUUAGAGCGAGCAACGACAUGUUAUCAUACUCGGUAUCCCGUGAACAGUACUUUAGUUAGAUUCACAUAUAAUCUUUGGUAUAUAUCAUUUUUGCCUACAUCUUGCUUAUUUUGAAUAAUAAGGCCUAUGAGUCCUAAGUAAGUGUGAUAAGCAAGCCCUGCACUUCUAUUUACUAUUAACCGCCAACUGAAUUUCUGAUAAUGGCGUUUCAGGGAUAAUACAACCAAUCCAACUACUACCUUUGGUGUGCUUUUUGGAUGGACUAAUCUGAAGAUGCUGACUAGCUUGCACCACCAUCAUAUAGUCACGAAGCAAGGGCAAGGAUUAUAGGGAAAAUAAAGGUACAAUGCUCCCAAUAUAUUUUACUUUCUUGGUGAAGUUUUGCUUCUUGCACAAGAAAGUAACACCAUCAUUAUACCUAAUGCUCUUUUUUUCCAGGCAAUUCACCAUCCGGAGGAAAUGCCAACUAAUACAUUUUUGUACUUCCUCUAUUACUAUUGUCUGUUUGAACUCUUGUAGUACGGCUCGGACUUUCAAAGUUAUUAGGCCUGUGGACAUGUUUUUAUUUUAGUUUGUACAGUUUUGUGUUCUUUUGGCUUCAGGUUGGUGCUGCACAGAAAGUGCAGUACACUCAGGUGAUGCAUGAAACAAACUGCAGACCUAGCAUAGUUUUUGUAUUUGGAUUUUGUAACUAAGGUGAUGCUUUUAUGUUAAAAUGCUUGUUUGUUCUCUAAGUAAGCUGACAACGGGUGCUAGCAAUAGUACAAACAUAUCAACAAUUCUAAGGAAGUGCAUAUGCCAGG